rnacentral:rRNA from 1 species
CCGUAGGUGAACCUGCGGAGGGAUCAUUACAGAGUUAUCCAACUCCCAAACCCAUGUGAACUUAUCUCUUUGUUGCCUCGGCGCAGCUACCCGGGACCUCGCGCCCCGGGGGGCCCGCCGGCGGACAAACCAAACUCUGUUAUCUUCGUUGAUUAUCUGAGUGUCUUAUUUAAUAAGUCAAAACUUUCAACAACGGAUCUCUUGGUUCUGGCAUCGAUGAAGAACGCAGCGAAAUGCGAUAAGUAAUGUGAAUUGCAGAAUUCAGUGAAUCAUCGAAUCUUUGAACGCACAUUGCGCCCAUUAGUAUUCUAGUGGGCAUGCCUGUUCGAGCGUCAUUUCAACCCCUAAGCACAGCUUAUUGUUGGGACUCUACGGCUUCGUAGUUCCCCAAAGACAUUGGCGGAGUGGCAGCAGUCCUCUGAGCGUAGUAAUUCUUUAUCUCGCUUUUGUUAGGCGCUGCCCCCCCGGCCGUAAAACCCCCAAUUUUUUCUGGUUGACCUCGGAUCAGGUAGGAAUACCCGCUGAACUUAAGCAUAUCAAU